UCCGUUCAAUAACAAUUAAGUGACCGAAAAAAAUGCCUCAAAAAUGACAAAAUCGCAAUAAUAAAGGUGUCAUAUUCAGGCGAAUAUUCUGUCAGAAACCAUGAACCGUUACUAAGGUUACAUUAGAAGAGCGGCUGAUUCGUGAAUGAAUGAUUCAUUUGAGUCGAAUCUUUGCAUGAAUCACUCGGUAAAGUGAACCGGUUCUCGAGGUUUCAAGUUCAACGAUCAACCGCCCACUUGAGGGCAAGAUUAUAUUGACGUAGACCUAAAUAUCGGUCUACGUCAAAUAUAGUAGACCCCCACCCCCCCAAAAAAACAAAGCUAUGGUAUGAUUUUUUGAAAACUUGAAAUAUAGUCAUAAGGACUGCUUUUAUUGUGAUUUUGUGGACUUGACAUUUUCAGUCAGCAUUCAUUGUAAGGCGUUCUACAGAAUUUAUCCUUUUGUAUUCCGAAAAAUAAAGAAAGUCAUACGGGCCUGUAACGACGUGAUGGUGAGUAAACGUUAACAGAAAGAUUUUGAGGUGAACUGUACUUUUAAUGUUGUGUUUGACAGAGGGAUACAAUACGAAGUCUUGGAGUAUUCUGCCAUCUAUUGGUCAUUCAAUGAACUUGCAAAGCUGUUUUGGUUUGUCGUUGACCUUCAAAUAUAACGAUUAAAGUAAAUCUUGUGAAACUAACAAAAUAUUAUGAGAGUAAAAUUAGCUUUAUAACAGUAUAACAGCCUGCCGGCUGAUUUCUUAAGCGAUUUGUUCACGUUCAUUACUUGUUCCAAAACCACUUUCUUCAGACCGUCACGUUUUGGUUGCAGGUAAUGGGUGACCGUCUUGACAAGUUCUGCGAAAGCAUAAUUACACAUUUCAGUCGAAAUUACAGCCCACAUUCACAUAGACUCCAUUGUUAAAAAGGCCCAGCAGAGGCUAUACUUCCUUCUCCAGCUGAGGAAGUUCAACCUGCCACAGGAGCUGCUGAAACAGUUCUACUCUCAUUGAAUCCGUCCUCUGCACGUCAAUAAUUGUCUGGUUCAGCUCUUCUACCAAAUCUGACCUCGGAAGACUACAGAGGGUAGUCCGGACUGCUGAGCGAAUCAUUGGUACAACCCUCCCUACUUUCCAAGAACUGUACUCAUCCAGAGUGAGCAAAAGGGCUGGUAAAAUCACUCUGGACCCCUCACAUGCAGCACACUCCCUCUUUGAACUGUUACCGUAUGGAUCCUCAACAUGAAUCCAUUACUUGAACAAGUUCGCACAAGGCUGGAUGUCAUAUAAUUUUGUGUAUGUUACAAUCAGAUAUGUAAAAUGUGACAAUUGCCUUUGAACUCUUGUUCGCAUAUUCUAGAUUAAAAUUAUCCUCCUGUAUGUUCGGUACUUUCUGAUCGGUGUGCAUGUCUUCAAAGUGUGUCUGUGCGUUUUAGAUAAGCUUCCUGCAUUGUUUAUAGUAAGGAAUGAAGGAACUGGGCCAUUUUUGGUGGGUUUGUUGCUAUGGAAAUGGACAGUGAGCACUUGGGUGAGUCUACAAGUCAAGCAGAUUGCGCACACUUGCACCUUCGUACGGUAAGAGAUCUCAUAAAAACUCUCAUAAUUUUAUUUUAUUUUUUUUACAAUUUGAAUAUCUGUAACACCAAAAUGUAACACCAGUUCCAUUUAAUUACACAGAUUAUUCACAUUUGAGGGCUACACUUACAUUUAAUUUAAAUCAAUCUCUCCUCCUGGGCUUUCUCUUGCACUGAACACCUCUGAGGAGCAUUUUAUUGCUCAGAAGCUGCUCUUUUGUAGCUCAGAUGAUGAGAAUGAAUGAAUGAAGAUCUCAUUUGAAAAGCAACAACUGAAAAGUUCAAGAGAUUUUAUUCAUGUUUCAUGGAGAUGUAAUGGAGAUUUAUUUUACCACAGAAGUGAGAAAAUCAGCAUCAAAUGAAUAAUAAAACAUGAAAAUGCUACUCACAAGCUGCUCUUUUGUAACUCAGGAGCUGUGAUGGAGAUUAAGUAUCCUUUUCAUUUUAGAUGUUUCUCCUAAAAUUUCUUUGGGAAACAAAAUGAGAUCAAUUCAGUUAUUAAAAGUUCAUAGCAAGAUCUCUGACUUUCGAUCGCAGACUCUGGUACCUUGAAAACUCUUGAGCACAAUCUGAGCACAACUCUACAGGUGUUAUUUUUAGAAGAAACUCUCCAUGUGCUCUUUGUUUAAUCUCCUUGCAGUUGAAGAGCAACACUUGAGAUGUUGAACAGAUAUAAUUUGUGAUUUUUCAUUUCUGUGGGGUUGCAAACACAACCCUGAAUGUUUAUUAAGUCACCUCAAAAAUGUAAUAAAGUAAGUCUGGCGCAAAGUGGAAAAUUUGAAUCUGAUCUUUAGGAAAAAAAUUUAUUUGUUCCCAUAACAACCCUUUUGUGAAGAUCACAGAAGAGGAAAAAUGCUAACAUUUCAGAAACAAUUGCAAACAAUGAAUCAUGCACUUGACAUAUUCCAUUGAUAACGCUUUGUGAUUUUCAUAUGAAUAUUAUUUCACGUCACACAUUUCUGUUCGGUUUCUGGUCUAAUAUGUGGCGGAAAGGAUUCUUACACAACAUCCUCUGUGCUCACGCUUGGUUUAGUGGAAGCAAAAGGUUGUUGAGCGCCAGCAUGUGUUCCCACACAUGCAGGCACACAUUAUUUCAUCAACACACUCACUUUUCCUCUUACAGCUACAAAUGGCACUAUUCUGUUUCUCUCGCUCUCUCUCUAUUUCUUUUUUUUUUUUUGGCUUACAAGGGGCAGUGCACUAGGAAUUUUGCUUCUAUUUUUGCAGUAUGUAGCCUACACAGCAAUGUAAGCUUUGGCGUUUAUUUAGCGUUGCAUACUGCAUACUAUUUUUAUUAUAAAAUAUAAAAAUACUAUAUAACAAUACUAU